UGCAAACUGUGCAGUGGUGAUGGAAUU
rnacentral:piRNA from 1 species